GGGCCAGGGCCAUGGCGGGCACCAUGGCGGGCAGCAUGGCGCGGGCAGCGCAGCGGCGGCGCUGCGGGAUCGGCCACCGUCUGCCGCGGCCGCCGGCGCUCGGCGGGAGGGCGGCGGCGGCGGGCUGGAGCGGCCCGGCGGCCGGAGGAGCGGUGCAGUACUGCGCCGAGCUGGUGCGGAAACGUGACUAUGAAGGGUUUCUGUGUUCUCUGCUGUUGCCUGCGGAAUCUCGAACCUCUGCUUUUGCCUUGAGAGCCUUCAAUGUGGAACUGGCUCAGAUUAAAGACUCCAUAACUCAGAAGACUACGGGUCUGAUGCGGAUGCAGUUCUGGAGGGAUGCUGUGGAGGACAUAUAUGGCGGUAACCCACCACAUCAGCCUGUUGCUGCAGAACUGUGGAGGGCUGUCAAGAGGCAUAACUUGACUAAAAUGUGGUUCAUGAAGAUCAUAGAUGAAAGAGAGAAGAAUUUGGAUGAUAGGGCGUACCGUAACAUCCAGGAGCUCGAAACAUACGCUGAGAACACUCAGAGUGCCCUCUUGUACCUCACCUUGGAAACGCUGGGUGUGAGGGACAUCCAUGCUGACCAUGCAGCCAGUCACAUUGGGAAAGCACAAGGCAUAGUUACCUGUUUAAGAGCAACUCCGUAUCACUGUACAAGACAAAAGGUCUUUCUUCCCAUGGACAUUUGUAUGUUGCACGGAGUUUCACAAGAGGAUUUCAUAAGAGGCAAGCAAGAGAAAAAUGUGAGAGAUGUAAUUUAUGACAUCGCCAGCCAGGCUCAUAUUCAUCUAGAACAUGAGGCAGUGUACUCCCAGCCAGGUCCAAUUUCAUAUAUAAAAAUGCUGCCUAAAAGAAGUAUUACUGGUAGAGAAACUUUAAGAAGACUUUUAUAAAUGCAGCUAUGUGCCAGCAUGGGAUGAGCACUGCACCAUCGAAAACACAUCUGCUUACGGCUAGAUCUUUCAGUAAGAAAGUUCCUGUGAAGGCAUAUCCUGCUUUUUUCUGUACGGUUGCUUUAGAUGAUUA